rnacentral:tRNA from 1 species
CUUGAGGAUGGGUUCGAGCCCCUUCUUUCUAG